UACGGAGGGGGCGAGCGUUAUUCGGAAUUAUUGGGCGUAAAGGGCACGUAGGCGGCUGAACAAGUCAAAGGUGAAAUCCCUCGGCUCAACCGAGGAACUGCAUUCAAAACUACAGUGCUUGAGGGAGAUAGAGGUGAGCGGAACUUAGGGUGGAGCGGUGAAAUGCGUUGAUAUCCUAAGGAACACCAGUGGCGAAAGCGGCUCUCUGGGGGUUUUCUGACGCUGAGGCGCGAAAGCGUGGGGAGCGAA
rnacentral:rRNA from 1 species